CUCUUCUCUCCCAUAUUCCCUUCAGUCUCCCACACACUGAGUAAGCUCUGGCAAUGUAGGCAUCAACCUCAUCACCUGUGUGUACAUCCCUGGAAAGUACACUGCCAAGGGAAACCUCAGAAGACUUGUAUGGACUGAUGCAAAGGAAAGGGAGCAGAACCAGGAGAACAAGCUAGAUUAUGCUGAUGCCAUUGUAAAGAAAAAGAACUCUGAAGGACUGGAGAAUUGCAUUCAACAUAAGGAGCAACCCCAAUUCUGGAGGACCAAAGAUGAAUCAUACCAGCCAUCUACUGAGGCACUGGCCUCAGGAUGCAAAUUGAGAAGCUGGCUGUUUUGGACAAGGCCAUUGCAGAAACUUGUACCUGACUCUGCAUAUUUGUUAUAAAGAUCUGGUCUCUCUUUCUUUUUCAGUCGGGGGUGGGGAGGUGGACAAAAUAGAUUUUUGUUUAUUGAAAAUAAAUGUAAAAAUCAUGGUUUAUGAGUCUGAUACUAUCGCAUAGAGAAAACAAAUUCUUGUUAAUUGAAAAAUUAAAUAAAGUUUUAAAACACAA